AACGAACGCUGGCGGCAUGCCUAACACAUGCAAGUCGAACGAGACCUCCGGGUCGAGUGGCGCACGGGCGCGUAACGCGUGGGAACCUGCCCUUAGGUUCCGAAUAACUCCCCGAAAGGGGUGCUAAUACCGGUUAAUGUCUUCGGACCAACGAUUUAUCGCCUUUGGAUGGGCCCGCGUUGGAUUAGCUAGUUGGUAGGGUAAAAGCUUACCAAGGCGACGAUGCAUGGCUGGUCUGAGAGGAUGAUCAGCCACACUGGGACUGAGACACGGCCCAGACUCCUACGGGGGGGAGCAGAGGGGAAUAUUAGACAAGGGGCGAAAGCCUGAUCCAGCAAUGCCACGUGAGUGAUGAAGGCCUUAGGGUUGUAAAGCUCUUUUACCCGGGAUGAUAAUGACGGUACCGGGAGAAUAAGCUCCGGCUAACUCCGUG
rnacentral:rRNA from 1 species